UUCCUACGGGAGGCAGCAGUGGGGAAUAUUGCACAAUGGGGGGAACCCUGAUGCAGCGACGCCGCGUGAGUGAGGAAGUAUUUCGGUAUGUAAAGCUCUAUCAGCAGGGAAGAAAAUGACGGUACCUGACUAAGAAGCCCCGGCUAACUACGUGCCAGCAGCCGCGGUAAUACGUAGGGGGCAAGCGUUAUCCGGAUUUAUUGGGUUUAAAGGGUGCGUAGGCGGAACAUUAAGUCAGCGGUAAAAUCGAGGGGCUCAACCCCUUUAAGCCGUUGAAACUGGUGAUCUUGAGUGGGCGAGAAGUA
rnacentral:rRNA from 1 species